GUGAGGAAUUUUCCGCAAUGGGCGAAAGCCUGACGGAGCAAUGCCGCGUGAAGGAUGAAGGCCUAUGGGUUGUAAACUUCUUUUCUUAGAGAAGAAUAAUGACGGUAUCUGAGGAAUAAGCAUCGGCUAACUCUGUGCCAGCAGCCGCGGUAAGACAGAGGAUGCAAGCGUUAUCCGGAAUGAUUGGGCGUAAAGCGUCUGUAGGUGGCUUCAAAAGUCUCCUGUCAAAGAUCAGGGCUUAACCCUGGGCCGGCAGGAGAAACUCUGAGGCUAGAGUUUGGUAGGGGCAGAGGGAAUUCCCGGUGGAGCGGUGAAAUGCGUAGAGAUCGGGAGGAACACCAAAGGCGAAAGCACUCUGCUGGGCCACAACUGACACUGAGAGACGAAAGCGAGGGGAGCAAAAGGGAUUAGAUACCCGAGUAGUCC
rnacentral:rRNA from 1 species